CUGUGGGCGGGGACAGGAAGCUGCGCCUUUGGUUUCAGUGUGUGAGAGCCUGUUCAAACCGCGGCUCCCUCUCUCACUCACAGCCCACGUCCCUAUUUAAACAGCGCUCACUGCGGCUCCGGACAAAGCCGGCCUGAGCUGAAGCCGCCGAUCUCAACAGUGUCCAAGUCCGGCUCAGUGUUCAGGGCGAUGGGGGUCGUUCCUUAUUUCUGUCUCCUCCUGUCUUGUCUGGCAGGCGUGCGGUCCGACAUAGUGCUGACACAGCCCGAGUCAGCGGUGGUAAAGUCCGGAGAGACCCUCAGACUGACCUGUGCAGUCAGUGGGUUCGAUGUCCACAACUACUGGAUGCACUGGGUGAAACAGGUCCCCGGGAAAGGGCUGGAGUGGCUGGUAGCGUCUGGUAGUGGAAGUAACGAGCAUUAUGCGCCUGGAGUCCGGAGCCGGUUCACUGUUUCCAAGGGCAGCAGCACCGCCUACCUGCAAAUGACCAGCCUGAGACUGGACGACACGGCCACCUAUUACUGUGCGAGAGGGUGGUACUGGGGCGGGGGAACCUCGCUGACAGUGACUUCAGAGGUCAAGUCUGUGCCAUCAGUCUACAUCACUCCUUCCUGCAACAGAGAAUCUGACCAAGGCAUCAGGCUCCUCUGUCUGGUCAAGGACUACCAGCCGGAGAGCAUCAGUCAGACAUGGUCCACUAACAGUGGGGACAUCACCACAGGAAUCAAGAAAUACCCGGCGGUGUUGGGGCAAAAUUCAAAGUACACGAUGAGCAGCUUGCUCGAAGUCUCUGCGGCAGACUGGAAGAAUAAAGUCUACUACUGCAAGGCCGGGUACAAGCCAAACGAGAUUAAGACAGCGGAGUGGCGGAAACCUCAACCUCAACCUCCGAAGCUCAGCUCCCUUGUUCCAUCCCGGGAGGUGAUCCACAGUCAAGCAAAUGCUGUCCUGGGCUGUGUGAUAUCUGGAUUCUCUCCUGACAACGUUCAGGUAUCCUGGAAAAAAGGUGGAUCUGCCCAAGUAGGCUUCGUUCUCCCUUCCUCUCGGAGAUCUGGUGGUGGAUUUGAAACAAUCACUUACCUGACAGUGCCUGUGAAGGAAUGGAAGAAACAGAAAUAUACUUGUGAAGUGAAUCACACACCUUCUGGUUUCAUUGGUCAGGUCAACAUGACGUAUCAAGAGGAAUUGUCUGUCUUUAUUCAAAAUCCCGACAUUGAAGAGAUGUGGAUCGACAAGACUGCUACUGUGAAGUGCAUGGUUCUCUGUACAGAUCCUGAAGAUAUCCACAUCUCUUGGCACGUGGGUGGGAAGGAGAAAACUAAAGGAAUUCACACCCAUCAAGCAAAGAGGGACGGGUCCCGAUACAGAGUGCUCAGCGAACUCCAGAUCAGUGUGGAGGAGUGGUUCAGUGGGGUGGAGUACGAGUGCUCUGCUCAGGAAUCUCCUUCAUCAUCCCCAGUGUCAGCACGGACCAAUAGUACCAAAGUCGAGAUAAAAAGUCCCAAGGUCAGACUGCUGCCUCCACCUCAGGAAGAGACCAAGAAUAGGAAAACAGCCACACUGGAGUGUGUGGUCUCUGGAUUCUACCCGGACCAAAUAAAUGUCAUCUGGGAGAAACACAACACCGUGAUCACCUCCAACACCAGCGCUACACCGACUGCUCUGGAGCAGGGGUGGAGUUUCAGUGCCAGACACUUCCUGACUAUGAGAUUACAGGAGUGGAAUACAGAAUCAGUCUUCAGCUGUACAGUGAUGCAUCUCCCCUCCAACAGCAGUAUCAAGAAGCAAGUGAAGAACGUCCUAGAUGACUGUCCAGAUACCCACCCCUCAGUCACUUUAAGCAAACCAUCCUUCGAAGAGAUUUGGACAAAGAGGACAGCAAUCAUUCUGUGUGAGGUGGUUCACAGUGAUUUACAGGGAUUCAGUGUAACCUGGCAGGUGGACGGAAGGAAGAGGGAAGAUGGGGUGAUGACUCUGGAUCCAGACAGCAACGGAGGUGAAGACAAGAUCACCAGCAGACUGACAGUCCCUGCUGCAGAGUGGAACAGUGGGGCUGAGUUCUCAUGUGUGAUAGAGGACGAGAGUUUGCCAACACCAGUGAAGAAAUCCAUCAAGAAGGACACAGGUGAUGUUGUGACUCACCCUCACGUCUACCUCCUCCCCCCUUCAUCAGAUGAGGUAGACACCGAUCAGACUGUGACCUUGAUGUGUCUGGUCACCAAGUUCUCUCCCGUAGACAUCUAUGUGGUCUGGAUGGCCAAUGACACCCUUCUGAAGACAGUGUUUGUGAACCAGCCAGUGACCAAGGACCCCAGGAAAGGCUGGAACACAAUGACCAGUCAGCUGAAGGUUUCUCCUGAGGAGUGGAAGAGCGGCACCACUUUCUCCUGUGUGGUGGGUCAUGAGUCGCUCACAACCAACCUGUUCCGAAGCAUCAAUAAAUCUCACAGCAAACCCACCCUGGUCAAUGUCUCACUUGUUCUGACUGAUAGUUUUAAAUCUUGUGUGUAACAUUAUGUGAUUCAAUCCAUGUAACCCUAGUUUUGUUAGUUUUAUCAUUAUUAAUUCUCACAGAGGAUUAUUUAGCUGAUUAAAACAUGAUUAAAAUCUGGACCUUUCAAAAUAAUUAAGAAUGAAAUUAAGAUCAAGAACCAAAUUAAACUACAAACAAGAUUCACCAUAGAUCUGAGUUUGUGUGUACACUCUCAGACCUUUUGCCACAUUUGAAUGCAUAUCAUCCCUGUGUGGUACUGCAGAAUGUAUUACAUCUUUGUCAAUGUACCGAUCCAAGUUCAAUAAAUGUGAU